AGAGUUUGAUCCUGGCUCAGAACGAACGCUGGCGGCAGGCUUAACACAUGCAAGUCGAACGCCCCGCAAGGGGAGUGGCAGACGGGUGAGUAACGCGUGGGAACGUACCUUUCGCCUCGGAAUAUUCCCGGGAAACUGGGAGCAAUGCCGAAUACGCCGUAUUGGGAAAGAUUUAUCGGCGAAAGAUCGGCCCGCGUUAGAUUAGCUAGUUGGCGGUGUAAUGGACCACCAAGGCUACGAUCUAUAGCUGGUCUGAGAGGAUGAUCAGCCACACUGGGACUGAGACACGGCCCAGACUCCGACGGGAGGCAGCAGUGGGGAAUCUUGGACAAUGGGCGCAAGCCUGAUCCAGCCAUGCCGCGUGAGUGAAGAAGGCCUUAGGGUUGUAAAACUCUUUCGCCGGAGAAGAUAAUGACGGUAUCCGGAGAAGAAGCCCCGGCUAACUUCGUGCCAGCAGCCGCGGUAAUACGAAGGGGGCUAGCGUUGUUCGGAAUUACUGGGCGUAAAGCGCACGUAGGCGGGUUUGUAAGUAGGGGGUGAAAUCCCAGGGCUCAACCCUGGAACUGCCUUCUAGACUGCAAGCCUGGAGGUCAGGAGAGGCGAGUGGAAUACCGAGUGUAGAGGUGAAAUUCGUAGAUAUUCGGUGGAACACCAGUGGCGAAGGCGACUCGCUGGACUGAUACUGACGCUGAGGUGCGAAAGCGUGGGGAGCAAACAGGAUUAGAUACCCUGGUAGUCC
rnacentral:rRNA from 1 species